rnacentral:rRNA from 1 species
GAGUUUGAUCGUGGCUCAGAUUGAACGCUGGCGGCAUGCCUUACACAUGCAAGUCGAGCGGCAGCGCGGGGGCAACCCUGGCGGCGAGCGGCGAACGGGUGAGUAAUACAUCGGAACGUGUCCUGUCGUGGGGGAUAACCAGUCGAAAGAUUGGCUAAUACCGCAUGACCUCGUAAGAGAAAAGCGGGGGACCGUAAGGCCUCGCGCGACUGGAGCGGCCGAUGUCGGAUUAGCUAGUUGGCGGGGUAAAAGCCCACCAAGGCGACGAUCCGUAGCUGGUUUGAGAGAACGACCAGCCACACUGGGACUGAGACACGGCCCAGACUCCUACGGGAGGCAGCAGUGGGGAAUUUUGGACAAUGGGGGCAACCCUGAUCCAGCCAUGCCGCGUGUGUGAAGAAGGCCUUCGGUUGUAAGCACUUC